GUCUACGGCCACACCACCCUGAAAGCGCCCGAGCUCGUCUGAUCUCGGAAGCUAAGCAGGGUCUGGCCUGGUUAGUACUUGGAUGGGAGGUAGCAACAAAGAGGUGGUUGGUG
rnacentral:rRNA from 1 species